rnacentral:rRNA from 1 species
GUCGAACGAUGAACCACCUUCGGGUGGGAGAUUAGUGGCGAACGGGUGAGUAACACGUGGGCAAUCUGCCCUGCACUCUGGGACAAGCCCUGGAAACGGGGUCUAAUACCGGAUACUGAACCGCUUGGGCAUCCAGGCGGUUCGAAAGCUCCGGCGGUGCAGGAUGAGCCCGCGGCCUAUCAGCUUGUUGGUGAGGUAACGGCUCACCAAGGCGACGACGGGUAGCCGGCCUGAGAGGGCGACCGGCCACACUGGGACUGAGACACGGCCCAGACUCCUACGGGAGGCAGCAGUGGGGAAUAUUGCACAAUGGGCGAAAGCCUGAUGCAGCGACGCCGCGUGAGGGAUGACGGCCUUCGGGUUGUAAACCUCUUUCAGCAGGGAAGAAGCGAAAGUGACGGUACCUGCAGAAGAAGCGCCGGCUAACUACGUGCCAGCAGCCGCGGUAAUACGUAGGGCGCGAGCGUUGUCCGGAAUUAUUGGGCGUAAAGAGCUCGUAGGCGGCUUGUCGCGUCGGUUGUGAAAGCCCGGGGCUUAACCCCGGGUCUGCAGUCGAUACGGGCAGGCUAGAGUUCGGUAGGGGAGAUCGGAAUUCCUGGUGUAGCGGUGAAAUGCGCAGAUAUCAGGAGGMACACCGGUGGCGAAGGCGGAUCUCUGGGCCGAUACUGACGCUGAGGAGCGAAAGCGAGGGGAGCGAACAGGAUUAGAUACCCUGGGUAGUCCACGCCGUAAACGGUGGGCAUAGGUGUGGGCGCAUUCAGGCGUCCGUGCGCAGUAACGCUUAAGUGCCCGCUUGGG